GUCGAGAAUCAUUCACAAUGGGGGAAACCCUGAUGGUGUGACGCCGCGUGGAGGAUGAAGGUCUUCGGAUUGUAAACUCCUGUCAUGUGGGAGUAAAGCCGGGUGUUAAAUGCAUGCCGGUCUGAGAGUACCACAAGAGGAAGGGACGGCUAACUCUGUGCCAGCAGCCGCGGUAAUACAGAGGUCCCAAGCGUUGUUCGGAAUCACUGGGCGUAAAGGGUGCGUAGGCGGCGCGGAAAGUCAGGGGUGAAAUCCCGGAGCUCAACUCCGGAACUGCCUUUGAUACUCCCGAGCUUGAGAACUGGAGGGGAGACCGGAAUUCACGGUGGAGCAGUGAAAUGCGUGGAUAUCGUGAGGAACACUAGUGGCGAAGGCGGGUCUCUGGACAGUAUCUGACGCUGAGGCACGAAGGCCAGGGGAGCGAACGGGAUUAGAUACCCUAGUAGUCC
rnacentral:rRNA from 1 species